rnacentral:rRNA from 1 species
CCUACGGGAGGCAGCAGUGGGGGAUAUUGCGCAAUGGGGGAAACCCUGAUGCAGCGACGCCGCGUGGGUGAAGAAGCGCCUCGGCGCGUAAAGCCCUGUCAGCAGGGAAGAAAAUGACGGUACCUGAAGAAGAAGCCCCGGCUAACUACGUGCCAGCAGCCGCGGUAAUACGUAGGGGGCAAGCGUUAUCCGGAUUUACUGGGUGUAAAGGGGGCGCAGACGGCGAUGCAAGCCAGGAGUGAAAGCCCGGGGCCCAACCCCGGGACUGCUGUUGGAACUGCGUGGCUAGAGUGCAGGAGGGGCAGGCGGAAUGCCUGGUGUAGCGGUGAAAUGCGUAGAUAUCAGGAGGAACACCGGUGGCGAAGGCGGCCUGCUGGACUGCAACUGACGUUGAGGCCCGAAAGCGUGGGGAGCAAACAGGAUUAGAUACCCCAGUAGUC